CACGAAGUUAGCCGGGGCUUCUUCUACGGGUACCGUCAUUAUCUUCCCCGUCGAAAGGACUUUACAACCCUAAGGCCUUCAUCAUCCACGCGGCAUGGCUGGAUCAGGCUUGCGCCCAUUGUCCAAUAUUCCCCACUGCUGCCUCCCGUAGGAGUCUGGGCCGUGUCUCAGUCCCAGUGAGGCUGAUCAUCCUCUCAGACCAGCUACUGAUCGUAGCCUUGGUGAGCCAUUACCUCACCAACUAGCUAAUCAGACGCGGGCCGCUCCUUCAGCGAUAAAUCUUUCCCCGUAAGGGCGUAUCCGGUAUUAGCCCAAGUUUCCCUGGGUUGUUCCGAACUGAAGGGCACGUUCCCACGUGUUACUCUCCCGUCUGCCGCUCCGUAUUGCUACGGCGCUCGACUUGCAUGUGUUAGGCCUGCCGCCAGCGUUCGCUCUGAGCCAGGAUCAAACUCU
rnacentral:rRNA from 1 species